rnacentral:rRNA from 1 species
GGGUUGUGAGGUUAAGCGACUAAGCGUACACGGUGGAUGCCCUGGCAGUCAGAGGCGAUGAAGGACGUGCUAAUCUGCGAUAAGCGCCGGUAAGGUGAUAUGAACCGUUAUAACCGGCGAUUUCCGAAUGGGGAAACCCAGUGUGAUUCGUCACACUAUCAUUAACUGAAUCCAUAGGUUAAUGAGGCGAACCGGGGGAACUGAAACAUCUAAGUACCCCGAGGAAAAGAAAUCAACCGAGAUUCCCCCAGUAGCGGCGAGCGAACGGGGAGGAGCCCAGAGCCUGAAUCAGCAUGUGUGUUAGUGGAAGCGUCUGGAAAGGCGCGCGAUACAGGGUGACAGCCCCGUACACAAAAGCGCAUGUGCUGUGAGCUCGAUGAGUAGGGCGGGACACGUGGUAUCCUGUCUGAAUAUGGGGGGACCAUCCUCCAAGGCUAAAUACUCCUGACUGACCGAUAGUGAACCAGUACCGUGAGGGAAAGGCGAAAAGAACCCCGGCGAGGGGAGUGAAAAAGAACCUGAAACCGUGUACGUACAAGCAGUGGGAGCACAGGUUUACCUGUGUGACUGCGUACCUUUUGUAUAAUGGGUCAGCGACUUAUAUUCUGUAGCAAGGUUAACCGAAUAGGGGAGCCGGAGGGAAACCGAGUCUUAACCGGGCGUUAAGUUGCAGGGUAUAGACCCGAAACCCGGUGAUCUAGCCAUGGGCAGGUUGAAGGUUGGGUAACACUAACUGGAGGACCGAACCGACUAAUGUUGAAAAAUUAGCGGAUGACCUGUGGCUGGGGGUGAAAGGCCAAUCAAACCGGGAGAUAGCUGGUUCUCCCCGAAAGCUAUUUAGGUAGCGCCUCGUGAAUUCAUCUCCGGGGGUAGAGCACUGUUUCGGCUAGGGGGCCAUCCCGGCUUACCAACCCGAUGCAAACUGCGAAUACCGGAGAAUGUUAUCACGGGAGACACACGGCGGGUGCUAACGUCCGUCGUGAAGAGGGAAACAACCCAGACCGCCAGCUAAGGUCCCAAAGUCAUGGUUAAGUGGGAAACGAUGUGGGAAGGCCCAGACAGCCAGGAUGUUGGCUUAGAAGCAGCCAUCAUUUAAAGAAAGCGUAAUAGCUCACUGGUCGAGUCGGCCUGCGCGGAAGAUGUAACGGGGCUAAACCAUGCACCGAAGCUGCGGCAGCGAACGUAUCACUUAAAGCGAUUCAGCGGGUUACGAUUGACGGAGCGAAGCGACGUCAAAGCGUAUACAAAGUCGAGUCGGUUUAAGGAUACGUUCGUUGGGUAGGGGAGCGUUCUGUAAGCCUGUGAAGGUGGCCUGUGAGGGUUGCUGGAGGUAUCAGAAGUGCGAAUGCUGACAUAAGUAACGAUAAAGCGGGUGAAAAGCCCGCUCGCCGGAAGACCAAGGGUUCCUGUCCAACGUUAAUCGGGGCAGGGUGAGUCGACCCCUAAGGCGAGGCCGAAAGGCGUAGUCGAUGGGAAACGGGUUAAUAUUCCCGUACUUGGUGUUACUGCGAAGGGGGGACGGAGAAGGCUAUGUUGGCCGGGCGACGGUUGUCCCGGUUUAAGCGUGUAGGUGUGUGUUCCAGGUAAAUCCGGUU